ACAUUUUUCAGGGACAACAUUAUGGUCUCAAUCGCUAGUAAAAAAUCUUCUUCAAGACAAUUUGAUGUCAAUAGUUCUAAUAAUGGCCCCAUUUAGAAGAAAAUAGAAGAUAAAGAAUCAUAUGAUUUGGGGCGUUUCUAGCUUUGAUUGACAGGUCACUGACAAGGCGAGCCGUCACCAGGAGAGAAGUAGAGCGUAUCCACGGCAACGUGUCAAUAAAGUUAUAUAUAACGUUAUAUAGAUAGAAAAGAGGACGUUUAGCGGUUUGGUCUCAUAACUUUGACCCUUUCACACUAUAUUUUCACUUAAUGACAGUUUAUUUGAAAGUUUUGUUCAGUAAAAUGUCUUGUUCAGCGUGUGGUUGGACUAACAGACACUCCAAGGAGUCGCUGCUCAGUUUUCUGAGGGAGAGUUGAAAGAUACUGCACAGCGGCUGGUGUCCUUGCUGCAGAGUGCCCUGUCUGGGACAGCACCUAGAAACAAUUUGGAAAACCAACAUCAGAGUGGUGG